GACGAACGCUGGCGGCGUGCUUAACACAUGCAAGUCGAACGAAGUGGCGAACGGGUGAGUAACGCGUAAUCAACCUGCCCUUCGGAGGGGGCCACCAGUUGGAAACGACUGCUAAUACCGCAUACUGAAGGAGGGGAUUGCGUCUGAUUAGCUAGUUGGAGGGGCAACGGCCCACCAAGGCGAUGAUCAGUAGCCGGUUUGAGAGGGUGAACGGCCACAUUGGGACUGAGAACCGGCCCAGACUCCUACGGGAGGCAGCAGGUGGGAAACUUUCGCAAUGGACGAAAGUCUGACGGAGCAACGCCGCGUUAGUGAUGACGGCCUUCGGGUUGGAAAGCUCUGUUAAUCGGGACGCGGUACCGGAAUAGAAAGCCACGGCUAACUACGUGCCAGCAGCCGCGGUAAUUC
rnacentral:rRNA from 1 species